GAUGAACGCUGGCGGCGUGCCUAAUACAUGCCAGUCGAGCGAACAGACGAGGAGCUUGCUCCUCUGACGUUAGCGGCGGACGGGUGAGUAACACGUGGAUAACCUACCUAUAAGACUGGGAUAACUUCGGGAAACCGGAGCUAAUACCGGAUAAUAUAUUGAACCGCAUGGUUCAAUAGUGAAAGACGGUUUUGCUGUCACUUAUAGAUGGAUCCGCGCCGCAUUAGCUAGUUGGUAAGGUAACGGCUUACCAAGGCAACGAUGCGUAGCCAACCUGAGGGGGUGAUCGGCCACACUGGAACUGAGACACGGUCCAGACUCCUACGGGAGGCAGCAGUAGGGAAUCUUCCGCAAUGGGCGAAAGCCUGACGGAGCAACGCCGCGUGAGUGAUGAAGGUCUUCGGAUCGUAAAACUCUGUUAUUAGGGAAGAACAAAUGUGUAAGUAACUAUGCACGUCUUGACGGUACCUAAUCAGAAAGCCACGGCUAACUACGUG
rnacentral:rRNA from 1 species